CGCAGCGUCGUUCGGACACAGAAACACAGAGUGACAGAAUUGUUUAGGUUGGAAAUGAUCUCUGGGGUCAUCGAGUCCAACCUGCGACCCAACACCACCGUGUCAGCCAGAGCAGUGCCGCGCCCAGUCUUAACACUUCAGGGACGGUGGCCCCACCGCCUCCUUGUGCAGCCCGUUCCAAUGUCUAAUCAUCCUUUCUGUGAAGAAAUUCUCCCUAGUGUCCAACGUAAACCUCCCGUGGAACACCUUGAGACUGUGUCCUCUUGUCUUGCGUUUCCUGGGAGAAGGGACCGACACCCCCAGCCGAAGCGGUGGAUAGCAGAGAGGAGGGCACGGAUAACAGCGUGAGCCGCCGAUGAGAUGGGAUGGAUCCCAAGCGCUCGGAGCAAUGCCGGCCCGGCCCGCCUGGUGGCAAACUGCUUUCACUGGAAGCGCUUCUCCGUUCAGCAGAGUGACUCAGCUGACUUGGGUGAACCCCUGGAACUGUGCUAGCUGGAAACCAGCCUGGACAUGCCCUCUGGCUCCUACCACCGGGGAACUCCCUUAGCUGUGACAUUAUAAUGGGAGGUGGAGACACCUCGAGGAGAGGGUCGAGACAGACAACAGCAAUUACAGUCAAUAACAUCUCUGACUUGCCUCAGUUACAGAAACCUCAGGAGAACUGUCCACCCUUCAAAUCUGUUUUGAUGUGUUUUAAAUGCAUGACAUGGAGCACAGCCACUCUCAGCAGAUUGCAGAAAGAGGCCAUCAAACCAUAACACAUAUUCGGAGGGGAGAGCAAUUUAUUGAUGGCUAUUGGUGCUAUGGAAAUGCUGGAUGCUGAGCCUUUGUUCCCCCAGAAACCUCAGCUCAAGAGGAAGAUCACGUAACAGAAGAGCAAAGGGAGCAUGGAGAAGAUGCCACGAAGAUGCCGCUCAUCUGCUUGAGUGGCUGAGGAAAAAGGAUCCUCAUGUGACAUUGUCUCACCCCCAUGUCUUCUGGAUUUGGUUGUUGCCAGGGUUAGUAUGGCCUUACAGGGAAAAAGAGAGGGGGGAAACCCUUCUGAGGACAUACUUGCACACUUUUUGUGGAAAAUCCAUAUUUUUUUCUGCCUGCACUCUGAGCUGCUGGAAGCUGUGUGCAUUAACCCUGUACAGAGACUGAUCCAGCAUGUUACAAGAUGUGAUUUGAACAAGGUUAUAAGAAGUUACACACUAUAUCUGGGGAGAGAGCAGGAACUUCUCAUAGGAUAUCUAAUAGUUAAUGUUAUAACUCCCUCACCAGUUCUACUCUACACUGGAGUCAGUUUUUCUCAUAUCAGUCUUCUGUGGAUUCCAGUUUUUUGAAAUUUAUGUAAAUUUCUCAUUGGGAUCACUGAUCUGUUGGGGGUUUUCUUCUGGUGUUUUUUCUCUGCUUCACCCACACUUAUCAAAAGCAGGGCUGUCCCACUGUCACAAGGAAAUUAUCACAUACACCACUUUUCUAAUUAUUUCAUUACAGCAAAGGAAACUGGGAAUAGAGAAAGAGUGAAGUUCUCGUUUUAUUUGUAAAUGUUGAGCUUUCAAAACCUUUUCCAUUCCAGAAUGCAUUUAAUUUUAAAUCAAACUUUCUUACAAAAGAAACUCUGAGAACAUUGGUUUUUUUGAUCAGAGAUCUGAUUUCAGUGUCUUUAAAGUGAAAAAAGUUAUUUUAUAUAGCUUCAUCUAACUUCUUAAAUAAUUGUAUAUACUUUUUUCUAUUUUGAAAAGCUUUUCUCAAUAAUGCCAAGUACACUGAAAAUGCCAAAACAGGUCUUUUGGAUAUUAUUGAAAUACCAAUUUUAUUUUGUUAAACAGAAAAAUCAUUAUGUUUUUUCAAAACAGUUGGGCUUCAAAACAAACAUAUUUUUUCCUUUAGCAUUCCUCCACACACAAACACUCAUUAUCUAGGCAAGUAUUUUAAUACUAUGUAACUCUCAUUCUUUUCAAAUUGGUGACUGUGUGGUAAGAGGUACCUCUUCCAAUGAGCUCACUUGGAAAAGCUGUAGCUGCAUGUAUCCAGCCUCUCAGGCUCAGUACUGACUUCCACAAAGGAAAGUAUGCAACUGGAAUUCCUGGAACAGACCUCUCUUGAAGUAUGUGCUUUGUAUCAAAGAUGCUAUUUCUCAAGGAAAAAAAACCCAAAAGCAAAACCACAACAAAACCAAAACCCAGAACAAAACCAUAGCCAACCAAAGCCCAGCCCAUAACAACAGAUCAACAAAAAUAAAGCCACUUGUGUUAUAAAUCAGCUUUUGUCUUGACUUGCAGAAGGUGCAACGGCCCCUUCAUCCGCUCAAAUCCUUCCACUUAGGAAAAAAAAAAAGAAAGUGGAGAUGGAGAAUGUGGCCCGUUGAGCUCAGUGUCUGCACCUCAAACCCUGCAAGCAACUUCUCUUCCCCAGUCUGGUAGUGAUGUUUCUGAUUCCCAGCCUCCCUCUCCAGAAGCUGACAAGCAGCAGCAGCUCUCAUCCCAGGCAGACUUGGGAAAUGACUAAUUAAGCAGUGAUUGCAGGAUUGCUUCCUGCCCUGGGUAUGGGACCACAAGGGUGAAGCUUCAUAAAGCUGCAGUGACCGCAGGAAGUGGUGCUGUGCAUACUCCCACAAUGGGGGCAUUAUGGAGACAUGCCCCGGAGGCUGCCGGAGACCUCGCUGAAUGGAUCCUGAUACCAUCGGGGAAUGGAGUACCUGCUAGUUCAAAGAGAGCCUGAAUGCAGGUUUUAAUCCUUUCUGACAAUUGUUGAGAGGAAAUGGCCUUUCCUCUGACCUUAUCGUUGUAAACAACAACUAGUCAUCAGGUUUGUCCUGCUGAGGGAAUAGUCAAGGUCUGUGCAAGGAUUUUACUUCUGAUUUUUUUUUUUCUCCUCUGAUUACAAUGGUUUAAUUCUCUAGACAUGAAAUGCAUUCUCACCCCUUAAUAUACUGGCUUCAUGUACAUUCUUUCUUAAUUAUUGAGUCCAUGCAGCUCGGCCUGGUUCAAAUUAGCUCCUCAGAGCUGUUGGCAGACAGAGUGGCCAGUUUCAGUACUCAGCCCUGUGGUUGUUUUUGUGAAGGGCUGUUGUGGGAUGCCUUUUGGAUACUCCAGUAUCACCAGAACUGGUGAGACAAGGCGUGAGACAAGCUGACAAACUCUUCUAGCAUGACAGAAAAUCACUGAGAGCUAUUCUGACAUGGCCAAGAGGCAGGAUGGGGAAUUGCUGCUGGGCACCAUUAGCGUGGCAGUUUUAGCAUGAUAGAAGGAUGCAAACACUUCCGGAAUUGCAGAGGUGGGUGGAUUUAUCUCUGUGGAUUCAUAUGGCUUUUAAUGCUAAGACAACACAGAUGACAGAGGAAAUGAGAGGGUAGCUUUUGCUGCUCCUGGAGUUCGAGCUGACUUUCUGUAGCGAGCAGGACAGAGUGACUUUGCAGCAGUAUUGAGAUGCACAUCACAGUGGCCACCUGUGAGCAUCCCCUUCCCAGUUCCUGCUCAUCAGGUGCUAAGUGGUGUAAGGGAGAUCAGCCAUCACAGCCUUUCUGAGAGGGUGAGCUAUUCUGAGAGAGCAGAGCUAUUAGGAGGGCACUUCUGUGCCUGGUCAUAGACCUUGGCAGGCUAUAUAGGAGGUUAGCGAUGGCUUUGUACAAAUGGCUUUUUAAUUCCAGUGGUGGUUAUGGGUAGCACUCACAUGUCUCCUCUUUGGUCCCCCACGCUAAGUCAGACAGCAAGCCAGAAGAGAUUUCUCCCUUGCACUGCACAACCUGGCUGAUCACUGCAAAAUGAAGGAUGGGCUGCACGAGUCAGCCUGCCUGAGCUCUCUGCAAUAAACAGCUUUUCACUGGAGCAAAGGAACAUUCCUUCCCUAGGUAAAGACAAUGAAUUGUAAUUUUUUCUUGUUAUCCUGGUUGACCCAGCUUAACACCUUCUCUGCUUGUAAGGAUUCUUACUAUGUGCUUAACAACAGAAUUGUGGUGUAUUUUCAGCAGGCUGAAGGUCACUAUGUAUAGGUCCAUAUUUCUAGUGAAAAACCUGUAAAGGUUUUUCUGUAAGAGGGAGCAGGUUAAAAGCCACUUUCCUUGGGUUUGGAGGAAUGUCUGAGCAGGCUGUGGCAGGCCAAGGGGAGACUGCUGGGUUUUUAAAGAAAGGAUGUCUGGUUUUCACAACUAUGUACCUGUGGUAACCUUGGGCUGUGUUUUGUGUAACAUAUCCAUGAGGAAGGGGAAAAGCCUAAACACUGGUGGGAGCAGCUUCUGAACGCCACAUACAUCCUCUGCCAAGUGGAUGGUCAAGGUCAGGGUCUCAAGUGGCGAAGUAAACAGGGUUGGAUCUGCCCUGUGCUUUGUCUCUGGCACCCACAUGUGCUGUGGCCAAGAACAGACUGUACCCAAAGGGAUGGGUUUCUCUGAUUUUCAUCAGGGCUGUAGGGCUGUGGGCGGAAGAGGGCAUUAUAACAAACAUUUGCAGUCUGUCCUGUAACCACGUGAAGUUGUUUUGCUUGCGCCAUACCAAAAUGUGUUGGGAUCACUCUGCUUCCAGUUUUGUUCAGAAAACAACUGUACAAGGCUGUGGUGCCUGUGUGCCAGUGGGACUGACGUGAGUAAGUGGGAGUGAUCUCAAGGAGCUCUGAUGUGAUAUGCCUGAAGGACUUUCCUUUCCUGGGGGCUGACCCCUGUGGCAGGGUUGUGUAAUUAGGCUGCUGGGAGAUCUGGUCAUGGGUAUGGUGUGUGCUCUGUAACCUGCAGGACACCGGCAGGUUGUGGGGGCAGUACCACCAUCCCAGUUGCCUUUUGUGUGCUCUCUGCAUCACCUGUGCACUGUCUGCAUCGGGGUCACAUUGUCACAAGACUGAAAGGGAGGCUGUUAGAGGAAGUAUUCCCCUUUCAGUUGGGAUUAACCCAGUAUUUCGGGAAAAAAAAGCUCUCUUUCCGCCCCACCUCUUCUCCCCUCUGAGAUUUACUUGUUUAUGUGUUUGCAGGUGGCAGCUCUUUGCCUUGUUGUGGUAUUACCUGUGCUAAGGAGAAUCAUAAAAAGCUCAAGCAGUUAUUGAUUCAGUAGUGGGAGCCGUUUCAACAGUGAUAAAAUGCCGCCUCUCCCUCAGUUAUGAAAUACCUAUCACAUUUUCUCUGUCCACCCUGAGGUUCCCUUUAAGACUUUUUGAAUUAUUUCCUCCACUUUAUAGAGCUGUAACAAAGGAUGAGUGGCUGGAUCGCUGUGCCAGCUUUACCUGAGUAAAAGGGACCACAGACAGGCUGAAAGGGCACCUGUCAGCAGGCUACUAAUUGCAUGUGUCCAUCAGCAGGUUGUCCUUCUACCAAAGAAUGUUAUCUUGGGAUGAAUCCAUAGGCAGCACAGAAGGAUCUUGUUGAGAGAGGCGGAGCAGGGAGCUGUAGAGUGCUGGUACUUACCUGGAUGGUGUCUUCACAGCAGGUGCAAGAGUGAAAGGGCAGCACCAGCUAUGUGAGAACUGCUCUGCCUUGCAGUGAUUGUGUUAGGAAGGAACACACUUUGCUUUUCUUCCCCACAAGGAACCACUUGCGUUGCAUUUUGCACAGCUCUGCAACAUUUCUGGAAGUCUGCAGUGACUGGUUGGAAUUCUGUGGGGAGUGAAUGCUGCUUUUCCUGCUCGUUUUGUCCCAUGCAUGUUACACUGUGCACUGUCUGUAAAGAAGAGUGAUCUUUUUGUUUCAGAGCUUAGUGAAUACCAUCAUGGAAUGCCUUGGCAGUCUUCAUACCUGAGAAUUGUAUUUUUUUGCUGCACGGGAGCAGCACAUUUUGCUGUUCUGCACAACUCAAGCUGUGGGAGCAUCUAAAUUUCCUUGUGCAGUUCAAAUGUUCCCUGUGGCCUGUCUUGGAAGCUUCUUACUGAGGCCAGGGAAAAGGGCAAUUACUUAAAGAUAUUUGCACGUGGUUAGACUUUUUUCUGAUCUACUGAGAAAUAAUCGCAAUCACUUCCAGAUUCUUUGACUCAAAGAAAGCGUCACCAGAGCUGACAAGGUCUCACUCUCAAUAUGGUCUAUAUUGUAAUUAGGAUGUAUAUUGCCAUCAGCACCCCGAGACCUUGGGAGAACGUGAGCUGAGGAUUUUACUUGUCUGCCCUUAGUGAAUGCAUGUGAGAGUCUCAUGAAUAUUUUUGAAGCAGGUCAAAUACUUGUCAUUGCAAAUCUAUAGAGGCCUUAAUGAAAGCAAUCCUUUGAGCAGGAGUGAAGGUGGAUUUCUCCUUCCUUACAAGAAGGCUCAAGGAACUCUGGAAUAAGUUUGAAGGAGUAGGUAAUGUCUGUGUAGUGAGGUUUUUUUCUCUCUGAAGUUGGGGAGGGGAGGCUCCUGAUCUUCAUUCAGCUGCAGGCUGGCACUUAGCGCAUGUCUGGGGGCAGUGGAAGGGCCAGGCAGGACUGGGAUGGCUGUGAUAUACUUGAUAUGGAAAUUGGGAUGCUUCCCAAAAGCAAGUUUGCUGAUUAUAUGGCAACAAACAACUUGGUGUUAAGGGAUAGGGUAGAAUCUUCUUUUUUGGUAAUUGUAAUUAUUAUUAUUUAGAGGCAAUUACAUUGUUAAAUGAACACCUCACAAACAUUAUUAUCCAGCAAAAAUGUCAGGUGACACUAUGGGAAGGUGGGAAAAACAGUGAAACUGAGGCAGUGUGUCACCUCCCUGAUGCCUCCAGAAUGAGGCAGAGGAAACCCCAACACUGUUGGAAUUCAGCUUUUGUGAAAAAGGGCUUGUGGGUUCUUCUUUUAACCUGACCUGCUAACACAGAUGUGGCUGAACCCCCAAAGGAGGGGGGAGAAUGCAGAGUAUGAUGUGCAAUUCAGGUGGAGGGACAUCAGAAGCUGGUAGGACUGUGCAUCCUGGUCACUUCAGAGCCUGACUGCCAAAAUGUCUGGUGCAAUAUCAACCCCACUGAUUGACUGAGACACAGGACUACUGAGAACCCACGAGGUUUAUCCCUUAUCUCAAUGUAAGUCCUGGAAAUAGAAAGAGGUGGUGUCAGAAGAACUUGCUGUCCACCUGGGGAGCCUGGAACCUCUGCCCACGAAGACUGAGAAGCCUGUAUUUGGCUAUUUAUGUCUUUGGCUGUUGGAAGUGGGCAGCAACCUGUGCUGUUGACCCAAGGUUACAUCCAUGACUAGGACUGAGUUUCAUUCUAUUUCCUUGAGCUUAUGCUGCCAUUCACUGAUUUUUGUUGUUGGAGCUCCUUUGUCUGGUUUGAUUGCAUCCUGACCCUAACCUGGUGAGAUUCCAAGCAGUGCCAUGUUCAAAACAGAAGUUCCCUCCUCCUAAAGCACAUGCAGGAUCACUAGUCCUUUUCUUGUACUCAUAAUGCUCAAGGGGGCUGGAGCUGAGCUUCUGCAGCCCUGGCUGCGUGGUGAUGGAGUUGUUCAUAUGAGAGGAAGCCUGUGUUUUGGUGGACGUGUGGUGUCCUGCCUCCUGUUCCUCAGCAGCCCAAAGGUUUCUCUGUUUUUUAGGGCUUCAUACGUCCAGACAGACUUAUUUUUUUAAAAAGAGAUAGAAUAACCUCUGCUCUGGCCUCAGUGCAGGAAAGCUUACCCCCAAACUCUCUCUCCUGUUGCUUUGCUUGGUGUUGCCUUCGAGCCAGGGAGGACCUUUCCAGUAAACUCCUGCACAAGAGGAGGCCUGUCGCUGUGAACUCUUGCAUAGUAAUUAGAGGAAACAACUUUGGGCUCCCACCACUGCUUAUGCAACAGGGCUGGAUUUGGAGUUGUUUGUCACCAUGCAACCCAGCACCAGCACGCUGGUGCCUCUGUCCUGAAACCCCUCCUUUGCCUCCAUCCCCCAGCUGCUUUGCAGAUUGCAGGAGUUUCUGUCCCACAGUCGGCUCCCAGGUAAAUCCUGUCUGGGACCUUUCGAGGGAAAUCGUAGCCCCUCGGCAGAAAUGGUCCAAGUUUCCAAGGCAACUCUCCUCUAACCCUGUUUUGAACGCUGCCUCGUUCCCAUAGAAAGUUGCCCAUUAGUCUGGUCAGCAGCUGCUGCGGGACCACGCCACCUCCAGAGAAGUUGUUCUUUGCUGGGCUCUUUAUUCCCAUAAUGAGCAGCCGGGGGGCCGCGGGUGGCUUGUGCUGCAGCCCCCGAGCAGGGCCCUGCUGGUGCUCGGGAAGGGCAGCGUGUCCAGCACGGAGCUGUUUUGAGGGGGUGCUUGUGCCUUUCUACCUUCUCAGGGAGAAAGAGGUGCUUGGGGCUCCUGGGAGGUGCGUGGAGCAGGAGGAUCAAGUGCUGAUGGGGCUGCUCUUGGGGGUUUUCUGGCGAGCGGGAAGGUGACAAGUGAAUAAAAAGGACACGGCAUUUUAUUUAAUUAGAAAAACCAAACUCCCUAAAACUAGCCUCCGAAGGGCCUCCGUUGUCAUCAGCUGCACAAAGAGCUGUGACAAAUGAAAGGAACUGAGCAGAGAAAAGGCUGCUUUCUCUUUGUGUCUCUUUCCCAGCUUCUGUUUGCUUUGCUGUCUCCCUUGCUCCCAUUGAUCAGGCAUGUGGAAACAUUCCUCCUCCUGCGCUCCCAUUGUGGCCGCCCGGUUGCCAGGCUGCCGUUGGCUUGAAUAACUUCACUAAGCCAGGCCUCUCCAAAACCAUGCCAUCCGGCGUGCUGGAUGCGGAGCCAGACACUGCCCUCCCAUCCUCCUCCUCUCCCUCCCCCUCCCCAGCAGCAAUGGGGUGCAGUGAAAAAAUGUGCCAAAGAACAAGGGAGGUAACGCGGAGCCCCAGCUGGCCCGACGCGGGGGAGAGGCGUGAGCUCGCCCUAAGAAAAUGGGGGCAGCAAGGAGGGGACAAUGGCCAGCCUGGGUCGCUGCCUUAAAAAGAGGGUGGGUGGUGGUGGUGGUGGUGAGGGCUGUUAGCCCAAAGUUCCUGAGCAGAGAGGAGACAGAAAGGCACGUUUCCAGGGGAUACAAGCUAGUAAAGUGCAGUGAGGUAAACCCCAGCCUUGUAUCCUGUGGAGGGGAGAGGUGGCGAGGACAAAACAGGAGACAGCAGGCAGCCGGCUGUGACUGAGAGUGAUUCGUGGCCAGCUCUCACUGGCUGUGCCACAAACAUGUCCCUACAGCAUGCAGGGCACCUUGGGCCAAGCUGCUGGCUUGUGCAGCGCCUCUUGAUGAUGUGACACCAGUGUCUGGUGCAGGUGACAGCUCUGGCACAGAGUGUGGCUGCACUCCUGAAGACAGUUCAGGGGCAGGCCAGAGGUUGUACCCCUGGGACUUGCCCUUGGAAUUAACUUGGGGUGGCUCUGGUGCUGAAGACAUUGGGCUGCCAGCCCAGGGACCUGGGGGGCUUGUGCUGUCUCUGCAGAGGGGUGGCACCCACCCGAACCCGCCCGCUGCCUACAGCCGUUAUUGUGCUGGGUACGAAUCUGGCCUAUUGUUCUUAAUGCUAUUUUUCAUCGGUGAAAUAGCAGUGAGCAAUCUGUGCUUUCAGACGUGCUUUUGACUCAGCACAGCCGGGGCUGGAUCCUCAGCUGGUGUAAAGCAGCCCUGGCCCAUCAGCUCGCGGAGUCACCCGUGACCCCCAUUUAGUCUUCGCCCCACUGGCAGCUGUGUCCCGGCGCUCUGGAUCAGAGGAGCUGUAUGACCACGGGCUGAGGCUGUGGCCAGGCACAGGAUCCCCUCCGGGUGCCGCCAGGUCUGUCCACAGGGGUGGCCCCUGCAUCCCAGGAGGUGGAGGGAGAUGUCCUGGGGCAGCUGGAGCCUAAGCCAGGCUGGGUUUGCUCUGCAGAGGGGUCCCGGGUUUGUGCUGGGUUUGAAGGGCAGGGACUGCUGAGCUCAGGUGAUUAACAUAACAAUCCUGGGGCUCUGCCUUCAUCCUGCGGCUAAAGCCUGGUUUGCUCAAUCCAAUUUCCAGCCUCUGCCCUUUCUUUAGCAGGCUAAUUACAGCGGCAGGACAGUGGAAAUGACCUUCUUAAAGCCACAGUGCCCCUCAUCUACUUACCUGUCAAAACACAGGAGACAGAGCACUGGUAUCAUUCAGAGAAAUAACAUGUUUAGAUACAAUGAGUGAACGUACUGAAGUGCAGAGCUCUCCCUUGAAGUUCCCAGUAGGAAUUUGUGUGUGGUUAUCAGUAGUGACUGUGCAUUUGUAAAGAACUUUCCAAGCGAGGUCCGCUGGCCAGCAGGCCCAUGGAGGUGCGGGUUUGUGCAAAUUUAAGGAACAGUGAGUGUGCAAUAUUACACUGAUAAAUGUGCAAAUGCUACCACCUGUGAGGGCACUGGGCUGGAAAGCUUCCGCAGCGCUGGCUUCUCUCAUUAGUCAUCCUAGCCUCAUUCUGUCUGUAGCACGGAGAGCCUGGCUCCAGUGCAGCUCUGGCCUCCUCCCGCACAAAUUUGGAUGUGGCCUUUGGGCCCGGAGAAGCUGUGAGUGCUCUGAUGGCUGAUCCUGCAGGUAACUACUGCCUGGCAUGGGCUGGAGCAGGAGCUUGUGUGUGGAACCUGCCUGGGGGCUGCAGCUUCAGAUGAAGCAGAAUGGGAAGCUGCAAUCUGCAGGAAACCCUUGGGCUCAGCACAGGAUGCUGAUGUGGCCAUUGACAGAGCAAAGGAUGGGUGUUCCCAGCGUCCUUGCAAGGGCUUCUCCACUGGAGCAGAAACAAGUGAUUUCCGAGGAGGGUAGGGCAUGUUUCUGUAUGAGUGCUCUGACCAGACCUGUGCUGUAGGUGGUCUUCGUAUUAUAGUUCUUGAAACUGUGUCAGCAGCCACACAAAUCUGCCCCUUCACAGAAAGUAAAAUCUUGUGCCUGACCACUAGCUUGGCACAGGAUAAAUCUGUUGUGGUCCUGUUGAAACUGUCAGUGAUCUCUUGUUAGGGCUGAGUUUUGCUUAGGAUUGGCUUCAUUUUGUGAUUUUAGUAGUCACAAAGCAAGAGGCAAUCUCCUGGAUGCAGGAGGACCUGUGAGGUGAAGCCAGUCUAAUCGGUGGAGCAGCCGUAGCUAAACUGCUUCUGGAGCUGAAAGAAUGGGUUUGCUAUCUCUGCUGCUGGGAAAGGAGGAAAUAUGGUGAGCAUCGUGAGGUUUAAUGUAACGAAACAGGCCAGGAAUAAAAUUAACUGGAUAGCUGCUGCAGAUGUGUCAGUCACACUUUGCCCCAAAGCCACUGCUGAUUGCUGAGAUACCUGUUCCGUCAGGCAUUGAGAAGAGGUAGCAAAACAAUUUUCAAUUCAUGGCAGUCUUGGAGACCUGCUGCACACAGCAAAUUUGAUGCUGUGAUAACUGACACUGUUUGUGACAGACAAAUCUGUGGCUUGUGUGGUGAAGCAGUUCAGAAGUGCCUGCUGUCGCAUACCAAGAGGUUGCGGAAAUGGGACUUGCUAGGAAAAAUGUUGCAAGAGGAUCCCAACCACCAAAGCCAUCCACUGAAAACCAUAGGAGAGCAACAAGAUAUUUGAGCAUACUGAGAGGGUUUUUUUUUCCCCCCAAUUAUUUUUCUUUCCAAAAGCACAAAUGGUCUGAUCCUGUUGGAAGCUACAAAAUAGGGGACUGUUGAGAAACAAGCUGGAAUUGGGAAAACUAAUACUCCAGCACUGAAGUAUAAACUGAACAUAUCUGAAAGAGAAAGAAACAAUUACAGGAAAGCCUGUUACUAGCAAACUACUGGGAGGAGGGCAAAUGCAUCCAGGGCAACAAGUCUAGGAUAAAUACAAGGAACAGUGUUGGAGGCAUGACCUUGCCCAUCUUUAUUACGACAGCCUUUUCCUACAUUUUGUUACUGGGAAGAUAGACACAGGAGUUGUUCUGUCUCUAACAUGGAAUGCAGGGUUGUAGGAAACAGUGCAGUUGCUUAGUCCUGUGCAGAGGGAUGUGGCUUUCUGGCAGGGCAGGGAUCGUGUUAGAACUGUGCACAAUAAGAUGAACCCACAAAUGUUACCGUUGAUGAUGAAGAGCAGCUGGUUGCCUCAAGUGAGUCAGAUGUAAUUUGAAAUUAUGCCUGUGGAUUAUUUAGAACUCUUAAGAUAGAAAAUUAAAUAAAUCUGUGUGCAGUGUGUAUGCUACCUGUAAUGCAGGUGCACUAUGAGAAGACACAAGCUGAAGCACACAAUAAACAUUGCUUGGAAAGGGAAAAGAAUGUCUCCAUAAUAGGAUUUGAGGGGCUCCUUGUUUAUGUUUUCCCAUGUGAGCUCUCCAAGGGAGACUCCCUUGUUGGAGGAAAGCCCUGCUGUUCCUGUCACUGGUCAAGUGGUGACAGUGGGCAGCUUGGCAGAAUCUGUGUGUAGACUUUGCAGUAUUAGGAAUCAAGGCAAGUGGUGUUAUCUCUUCUCCAUGUGUGGUUAAAUGCUUUCUCUGUAGCUGGUGCCAGGCACUGUCGCGGCCCACUGCUCACAAAUGCCUUUGCCAGGUGGAGACCACGUCUGCUUUCAGCUGGAGUUAAGGACCAAAUGAGAUUGCAGUCUAUAUGUCACUUCUAAAUGACACUUAGGCUCCUAUUUCAAAGAGGAGGUUUGGAAAACUGGGUCCUAUGACACUUUCAAUGGGAGAAUACACCAAUCUCUCUUUUUCCUGCGCUCUGAAAUACAUGAAUAACCCACAUGUGUGAGAGCUACCCUGUACCACAGCUGUGUCAGGGGAGGAUCUUGUGUUUCCUUCAGAUUUCACACCACAGUAGGUGACCCUGAUCAGACAGUCUCUCAGAGAGAAGCCAUCAUGGAAAUGCUGUUUGCAGCAUCCCACACUGUCCUCACACAGAAGUCAGAGCCCUCCUGUUUGAGUCUGUGCAGUAAUCAGUUGCACUGCCCCUGUUUUGGGGGAGAUUAGUGCCAUGGUGUCUACAAGCAGAGAUUGUGCAGUCUAAUUUUGUAAUGAAGAAUUAUAAUGAAACAGUAGGCAGUGCUUCCUGUAAAGAAUAUCUGCUGUGUGUGGCUUUGUGCAGGAUAAACUGUCUGGCUUAAAUAUAGAAGCAGUGUUCUUCUGUCAGGAACUCCAGAGAAAAUGCAUUCGAGUUGGUGUUUGCUGGCAGUGUGUUUGGUAUGUCAUUCACUUACCUAUCUAAAUUCCAAAUGUAGUAGUUAAACCAACGUUAAUUCAUUCUCUUGUGAUGUACUGGACUGAUGGAAAUCAUUGUACAUUUGUGAGAUGUGUGUUCCACAUCACAGUGGAGCAGUUGUCUGUCAGGGUCUGGCUCACAGGUACCCAGGGUCACUGGGCAGGGUGCUGAACCUCCUACAACACUGACUUCACUCACAAGGACCUUGUUUCAGCUAUGUCUGUGGCAGACUCUUAGUAACAAAACUUCUGUCUGAAACGUGCUGUGUCUGGCAAAACAAGCAGCAGCUCCUGUGAGGUCCUUCCAAGCAGAUUUCUCUCACCACCAUUAUUCUCCAUGCACAUGCCCUCCAUGCCUAUCCCAGGAUUUGCUUCCUUCCUUCUGGUGAUCUGUUAUUUUGGAGCACAGGCUCACAGAGCCAAGCUAGAGGAUCUCCAAGGGAAGUUUUAAGUGUUCAAUAAAAGAAGGAAUGCAGGGAGAAAAGAAAGCACCGACUCAAAUGGCAUCAUUCUCUUUCCCUCAUCCCUUUGAGGUUCUCCUGCCUUCCCUGCCUGCGUGUGACCUCCCUCCUCUCCCAAGCAGCCUCUUUCUUUUUUCAGUCUUCCUCCUGCCCCUCACCCUCCUAGUUCAUUGAUCUCCCUUUAGGCUUUAUUAGUGACUCCCCCUCCCACCCUUUCUCUCCCUCAGUUUUUCUGAUUCUCUAACAUGAGACAAUUGAAUGAGGCCAGACUCCUAAGCCGAAGCCAGGGGUGAGAGGGAAGAGGCGUUAAGAUUUAAUGAUAUUGCCUCUUUAAGGAAUCCCUAAUUCCUAACACCCAUCUCCUCCCCCACCUGAGAACCAAUUAAAACUCAAUGAAUUCAAGUGGAGGCUUUUGUGCAUCACAUGUGCUUGACUAACAAAGCCUUCUCCAUGCUGGAAUAAAAGCUUCUAUUCAGCAGCCAGUUUGUUCUAAUUCAAAUCACUUCCACUCCAGCAUCCUCUCCUUCCUUGCUGCUCCUGAGUUCCCAGGCUGGGCUGCCACCCGCACAGCCCUGCCCAGAGCUCCGUGCUCCACCUUGCACAGCCCCUCCUCGGUGGCAGUGGAGCAGAGGAUGGGAGAUGACCUUUGUAUGGUUGACUGGGCAGUCCAUGGUCAUUAUGGCCCUGUUCCCAGGAGCCUGCAGGGCUGGGGGUGAGCCUGCAUCGUGCCCUGCAGGAGCUCCAGCCUUGGGAGCUGUCUCCAAAGGGGCUCUGCUCUGCCCUUGGGAAACAGCUCCUCUGGGUGGAGUCCUCUGUGUGCAGACAGAAAAUGACCUUGUCUAUGGGCAGAGCUCAGCCUUCCUUGAAAUGAGUGAAAACUCUCCUUUUCUCUUUGCUGUAGGGGUUAUGCAGAUAUGGGGACACCUGAAGUAACAGGGGAGUCCAAAAGCACACAAAGUCUGAGUCCAAGUAGUUUGUACUUUCAUCUGCCUCAGGGUAUAAAUUGCACUACCUGGGAACCCAAGGGUAGCUAUGUCUUCUAUUGUGCCUUGAAAAUGAGCUUGGAUAAGGUCAUCUGGGGAAUAGAAUACAUUUCAUGCUAUUCAACUUCCAAAUUUAAAAACCUUACUUGAAAGCUUUGCAGCUGCAGAUCUGGGGUUUGGGUGGCUUUAAGUAGAGAGGCAAUUCUCUGUCCAGAUGUUAGUCAGGUAGUCUUCCAGGUGUAAAACAGGCUCUGCUCAGAGCUUCUGCCUGUGCUUUACUGAUCAGUGUUACCUAUCUGGUGGCAAAGCUGUGUGCAUGACAUUAACUGGGUUAUCUUUUCUCUGUUCCUGCAGCCUCCUAUUUGUAGAGACACUUUUGGAUAUUUUCGCUCUUGUGAGAAAUCUCUGGUAGAAGCAGGUUGAGCGCUUUGCUCUGAUGGCAGUGAGGUUUUUACUCCCUCUAAUCUCUCCUGGGAGCGAGCUCCAGCACUGCAGGCCAGCUGCCAAGGAAGCUAUCUGCUCUGCUCCAGAGCCUUGUUCUGGUACAUGGCAAUUGCAUCGCUCCCGGAACACGUGGGUUUCUCAGGGAGCCACGGAGGAGGUAUCCAGCUCUUGAGUAGCUGGGACCUGUCCCACAAAGAGCUCUGGCAAUUGAAAUGAGCCCUUGGAAGCUGGUUUGAUAUUUGCAGAGGCACCAAUGCUGAGAGGAGCGGUUUGGGUUUGCAGGUAGUUAGGGACCUGUGGUGUCUGACAAUGAGGGUAUUACAUUUUAAACUCCUCUGAGAGUCUGUAGGGCUGGUAAUUCUUCCUACCACACUGCCUUGCAGCUGCCCAGCGUGGCAGGGAACAAGUGUUAACACACCUCAGGGUGUGUUGCAGUCUUCUAGUCAACUGUCACGAUAGAAAGAUUUUAAUAUCUCUUAGCAGUCCUGUUCCUUGCUAUGGCUGUGGUCUCUCACAUCUUAGCACCAAACCCCAGCUCUGGCCAACAACUAGAGCUGAAUGUGUUUUACUGUUCCCAAAGAGCAUGUUUGGGUCUAUACUUGUCUGUCUCUUUCAUGGAACACUCCUUUGAUGUCAAGAGACUUUUGCUAUUUAGUAAAUUGGCACCCAUUUUUCAUCCAGCUUUUUUCCUGUAAGUGCAAGUUGGCCUCUUGUUGCAAUGAUGUGCAGAGUUGAAAAAAAAAUUUUGCUGUGAAUAGGUUUUCCCCUAGAAAACCCAGUCCUAUGUCUACAUAACUGCAAAAGAGCAGGGACUCUGACAAGAUGCAAAAUGCACGAGGUGCUCAUGCUGACCCACAAAUUGUACAGAACCAUUCGUUAGGUGACGAGUUAAUUUCAGGUAACGCUGUGUGGCACCGUGACAGUGGAAUCUCUGCCCAUCAGUGUGGUGAGGGGGAAGAAGAUGAGAUCAAAAUCUGUUGGUUUGAAAAAAUACUUCGUUCCUUGUGAGUUAGGUAGUCCUGAUUAUUUGGAGGAAGUUAAAAAGUAUUUCCCUUUACAGCUUUGAGUUAUUUUCUGCAACAUGUUCUUUCUGAAGAUCUCGAAGCGUCUUUGGUUUUUGGGGGUUUCUUUGAGGUAGGGAAGAAAAACCUCAGUUUUCAAGUAGUAAAACAGAAGUUUCUUGGCCCAAAUCACCCAGCCAAUCUGCGAGAAGAGGUUGGAGCAGCACAAACAACUCAAAAGCUUUACUGAAGAGCUCACUCCUCUUGAGCCUCCUGCGAAAUGCAGCAACUGUGUAGUAGCACUCUAAGGUGGGGGCUGCCAGUGCUGUUUGCCUGUUUGGGGCCUGGGCCUGGCACAGCUUAGUUGGUCCCUAGGCUUUUCUGUAAUAAACAAGCUUAAUUGAAGAGAGCAGAAGAUCUGGGCUCACGGGGUUGUGGGGCUCAGUGGGAGAACAGCCCCUGCCUUCGUGAGGCAGCUGAGCUCUCCCGUGUCCAACACUGACCUUCGUCUCUGGGGCUCUGCUCUUUGUUCCUGUUUCUUGUUAGUGAAAUGAGUUUGAUGGUCUCAGACUUGCUAGUAAAUGGUUUCUACUUCAAAACAAAGUGCAGUUAGUUUGGCAGGAGAGUCCCAGGUCUGACCUAAAACUAAAUUACAGCUGACCCUGAGACAGUGAGGCCCCUCCAGGUCAGGGACAAGGGCAUUGUCAGGACACUGGGAGCUUGCACUGUAAUUAGCAGCAAAGGUAUCAAAUACCUCCGUUUCCAGCAUUCCUGUCCUUAAAGCAACACAAGCAUAAAAAUCUCAAAAUUUUUCCUGCUACAACCUCACUAAAAACAAAGCAAAAGGGAAGGAAGGCUGAACAAACUUUUAUUGAUUUGCUUUUUCUCUGUUCUGCAGUAAAUCCCUCCCCAUCUUACACUGCCUCCCACAAUCCCUUGUUCCCCCAGCAUCUGGGAAUGAAUUUACCAGACGCUGCAUUGCUUUCAAGGCUCCAGAAUGACCAGCACACUUGAGCACAGUUUGCCUGACAGCAGAAGUGUAUAAGAGCAGCUUUCCUACUUCAAAAACUUGUUUGGCCUCAGAGCUGCUCUCCCAGCAAAUGCCUCUUUUAUUCCCACGUUUCUUCAAAGACCAGAGAGGCUCUUUUAGAUUUACCCUCCAAAACGUGAUUUGUCUUAAAUCACAAACUUUGUGGGGGUUUUGUUGUUUUUUGUUUUUUCCCCACAAACUUUCUCUCACAGGAACAUCACAACAUUUGAGAUAGAAAAACACUUUUACCAGCUUUGUGGAUGUCCAACAGAGUGCCAGUAAACAGAAGCCAAGGUGCUAUUGCAACUAAAAACAUAGAGAAGGUAUAAAUUACCUGAGCAUUAAAUUUUUGACUAGUCACCUGUGCCACUACAAAUGAACAAACACAGAUCUCAGGUGCACACCUUGAGACACCACAAGCUUGUUUUGCCAAAAAUGCUGUGUGCUGAGAGCUUCCCCAGGCCUUCUUUGGAAUGAGGAAUGUUUACUGCAUCUCCAGCUCUUCGACUCAAAUAUUUAAAAUCAGUGGGAAGUUUCGGAAGAUGCCUCCCUGUUUCCAUCUGUCACGAGUGGGCAGUUUCCAAACCCCAGGGGUGUCUGUGAAGCGGCAAACGUGGUGACCCCCAGAGGGGAAAGGCUGGAGCACGGCAGGACAUACUGCACAGGGCUUCCAAAAACACCCGUAUAAUCAGAUUACAAGUCCAGUGAGUCAGGAUGUCUUAAGCCAGAGUGUGAUCCCUCUAUUUCACGUGUAACUUGUGAGAGUCCUCUCUUCUAGUGUCUCCAGAAAGGCACCAAUCAUUCCUGCAAACAGGGGAGUAGACCUGCUCAUUGAUAAAUCAGAAAUAUGGCAGGCAGAUGGAACUAAAAUCUUAAACACAUUUAAUUAAAUAUUUGUAGGAAUCUUGAGCGUGUUUUUUAGUGUUACUAUUCCCCAUUUUGAUACGUGUAUCUGAGAGAAACUUUGGAUUAUAGAGGUUACUGUUUCACUCCUACUUUUAGUAACAUUCCACCAUGAGAGAGGUUUCCUGCUGCUCCUCCCUCUCCCUGCUUUUGUCAGAGUAUCUCCAUGUUGCCUGUGUCUCAGCCCUGAGCUAAAUAGUGCCUUGGACAGCUACUUUGGGAGCUAGUCCUGAGCUGUUGCGCUGCCUUGGCCACGAGCCAGCUGGGAGCUCUGAGGAAUAUAGUUUGUGAAUCACUUCUUGCUCCUGGUGGGAAAAGGGUCAGUGACUCAGUUUACUUCAGCUCAUGGAACUGCAUGGGCAUGAGGUAGGUGGGGAAAAUUCUACCUGAGACAAAAAAAAAAAGAUAAAAGAAAAUGGCACAAGGACCCUAAUGUAGCAGAAUCAGCCUUGAGGGAAAUCCAGAGCAGGCAAAGGCGUGAAAAGAUAAAUGCUUAAAGGCUGUGAAAAGUGAGAAAAAGAUGGGCAAGAAUGGACAAGUAGCAGCAGGAGCAAAGUAUUUCCCACUAGACUAUGAGCAGUGCAGAAUCAGAGCUUGUCUUCUGUCAGAGGUCAGCUCACUGGGUGUGUGGGCAGGGGCAAUCGCUGUGUCUUGGGACCAAAGGACAGAUUCUGAGCCUUUUCCAGUUCCAAACUCAACACAUUUAAAAGCUGGUGAAGGUUGCUGAAACCGGAGCGUUUAGUAACAGCCAUCCCAUUCCAUAAUCCCUAACCUGGGAGGAUCAGGAGCCUGAAGGAGUGAAUGUUGUGCUCUGGGGUGGGGGAAGCCCUCUCUCUCUGGAGGACACCACUCCUGGCCCCGAGAGUCUGUUCUGCUGUAGAAAAGCAGCUCUGAGUACAGCACACACCGGGCCAGUUUGUACCUUGCUGUAGACUGUUCUACAGCAAACAGAAGAAUGACCAGAGAUGUCCAAGUGCCCCUGGUCCCUGGCAGCCUCUCACCUCCCUUCCCCUUGAGCGAGGAAGAGGCUCAGGCAGGAGUUACGUGCACAGGGCAGCUAAGCCGCUCCUGCAGUCUGAGGAUGGGAGCUUUGCCUGGGAAGACACUGGUGUCCGUCUUGAUUAGGAUGUGAUGCCUGAUUUAAGUCAUGUGACAAGUACAAACAAAAUACCUUGGCAAAACCUUGAGGAACCAGGACAGGCUGAGCUGCUUAGGAAGAUUUACAGUGUGUAUUUCUGUCCUGUGCACUUGCCUUGGUCUGAACCUUUCCCAUCUCAGGAACUCCAGGAUGCACCCUGGAUUUUAAAGAUGCUCUUUUCUGUUCACUCCUCCAAAUAAUCUGCAGACCUUCUCAAUGUUGUACUGUUAAGUUUCACAGUUACUUAGUCCCAAUUACUUUACACCACCAUAGUACCAGAAUACUAUAAUAUCAUCCUCUGAGAAGUGCUGUUGGGAUUUGUGGAGCAAAAGUCCCAUCAUCUUAGAUUAGAAAAUAAGUCUUGAAGAAAUGGGAGAGUUAAAAGCCAGUGGAACUGUUAUAGCAGAGGUAGGAAAUCGAUUAUGUCCUGACAGAGAAGGGAUGAAGAAACAGCUUUUGCUUGCUUAGCUCCUGUUCAUGUGUUGAGCCAAAAGUUCUCUGUCUGCUCCUGUGCGUGUCUCUUCCUUCUAGUGCUGCUCUGGGACAGUGCCAGGACCCAGAUUUUCUGCCUCCUGCAAACAUCUCAGCAGGGAAUCCAGUCCUCCUUCCCCUGAGCCCUGUUCUCCCCUUGUUCCUCCAUUCUCUUGGACUCUGCCUUCUUUAAGGCAGAUUUUAGAGGUCCUUGACAUGGUGCUGACUUCAGCCCCAGAUUAAUAAUUCACACAUGCAUCAGACCUGCAGAAGAUGUGCAGAUCCAUGGAUAGUGCAGCAUCACUGGGCCCUGCCUGCUGAGCUGGUGCUGAAGGCCCAGCAGAUUAGACUGGAAAAGCUGUGUUGGCUGUGGUGGAGUGCUGGGGGUUACCCACCCCCCCCUCGCCAGGACACAGGAUUUUAUUUUUAAUUCAGAACUUUAAUACUUUUAAAAAAUGCUAAUACCGAAACCCCUUUUGUCUAAGGGGUUCUGGCAGCCACUGCACUGGCUGGUGCUCUUAAACCUGACCCAGACCUUUCUCUGUUACCCCUGUUCACCCAACUCAUUCCCAGACCUCUUCUCCAGUCCUGGUGGUGUUUGGUGCAGCUCAGCCCGUGCUGCACUGUUACUUGCCCUGACAUGUGGCUGUGGACCAUGGCCUUUAAAUUCCUCUGUUAUUCCUAUUCACCAGCCCCCAUCUGUGCAUUGGAACACACUCAGAACUCCCCUUUCCAUCAGACAAGCCCUCACUUUUGCCUCCAUUACUCCAAAUUCUUUCUGUCAUUUCACCUCAUGUGCUGAAGAAACUGUGCAAACUGGGGAUUCAAAGUGGUGCCAAGAGGUCACCUCUGUAACGUGCAAGGAAUAAAAAGCAGAAUGUGAUAAACAAACUGAUAUUUGCUUAAUUUGAUCUUAAAAAUCUUCAUGGAUGGGGAUUCCUUGGCCUUCCUGCCUGAUCUCCCCCAUCUUUAGCCAUCCUUAUAGUUGCUACUUCUAAUACCUAACAUCUCCUUCUGUGCCAUCUGAGCUAAUUGCCUUACCUUCAGUGAGCACAAGGAAUAAUUUAAUCACUCUUCUUUAAAACAGCCUGGCACGUCUGGCAGGAUUUUGGUUGCACCUCUUCUCAUCUCUGUUCUCUAAUGGCAGGGAAAUGGGUCCCUCCGUAUCCCACCAUGGGAAGCUCUGAGCUUCCUGGCAAGGAGGGGAAGAGCGGGAGGCAAUGUUCUGCUUCUGGGCUGGGGAAGAGCCUCUUAACAGUGGCUGCUCUGAGAAAGGUCCCCUUUCCAUGGGUUGCUGGAGUGAGGACCAGGAAGGGGUUAGGUAGGAGCAAGGACGCAGCAGAAAGCAGUGACUGAUGGAAGUCUGGGACAAAUGGCAAUUAAAAGUUUAGAGGGAAGGUGGAGCUUCAGGGCACCUUAGAGGAGAGAGGUCUCAUUUUUCAAAUUUGUUGUUGCUUUCUGUCACUUUGUAUGCAAUCUUUGGAGUGUUAAGAGAAGUGAAAAUGUUUGCAGCUCCUCUUUGGAGAGGGGAGAUCCUUUCCAGGCUGCUGCAGGGAGGUGGCACCUGGGGCUGGGCUGGUGCUGUGCUGGAUGCUCUCGGUGCACGGAGCAGCCCCGGUGCUGGAGUUGGGCAGUCGAGGCUUCCUCCCUCAUUUGCUGGACUGAUUUAGACAGGAUCAUGGAGACUAGACACUGUGUAGUAGUUUUUAGAGCUUGGAGAGAGGGAGAAUAGCAGGAAGGGCUCUCUGAUUUUUCCCUUAGCCAUCAUUUCCAGGGCAGCGGGUGGAAGCUUGCGAUCUCCUACUGUCCUUCAGAGACCUCUCCUUUUUUGCUGUUUUAUGCUGAAUCCCUAUGCUGAAUUCAGUACGCUGCAAGUUCUCUUGAUGUUUUAUUUUCCAUCCCUUGCAGACUUCUUUACCCUUUUUUUUCCCUGAGGCUCCAAUCCCUCUUGCUGUUUUGUGGUAAUUGGGGUGGUCUCCUUCUCUCCCCUCCCUCACUCCUUUCUUCCAACCUUAUCCUGGUUGUCUUUAUUUACUCUUCCUACUCCCGUUUCUCCUGCACUUUAUUCACCCACACCUACGUUUCUCUUGCUUGCAGCCCUGUUCCUCUCCUGUGUUACUUCCCACCCUGUUCUCAAUGCUCUGCACCAUGUAGCUGGUUUUCCCUCUGUGAAUCUUGCUCUGUGAGGUUUCCUACAUGAAGUAAAGAAACCCUUGGUGCUUUUGUAGUCAUUCCUCUCUUCCUGUUGCUGGCUCUGUCUCUCCCCCCCACCUGAGUGGAAUCUAAACAAUUAAAUUUCUCUAAAUAGCUCCUCUUCCCCUGUGUGCCUGACUCUUGCCCCAAGCCAGCUCCUGCCAGGCAGGAGGUGGCAGAGCAGUGGGUUCCCCUCGAGGUAGACACCCCUGGCUUCCUUGUGCUUUGCCAUCAGCCUUUCCAGAGGGUCAGCAUCCCUCCCAAAAUAGGCGCAAGCACCACUGGAAGCCACUGCCAGAGCCUGGCAUUGCCCCCAGGCUGCCUACGGAGCCACAGUUAAUAUCUUCCAGGUUUGCAUGGUCGGCAUUGUAAUGCAAGUAUUACAAAAAUGAUUUGAAUUCCAGUUCAGAAUUGUUUAUCAACUGUCCAAACUAAAUGAAAAUCAAAACUUGUCCUAGUACCUCUCUGCCAAAACCUCCUGGUUACAGACAGGUCUCCAAGACACAAUCUCUCCUUAAGCCUUAUAUGAUGAGGGAGGAAAGGAGAGGGCUGCUGCCCUGCCCCUCCCCUAACCUCCACUUUUUGGAACCUCCCUCUCUCCAUGAAUAACUCCAGUGUCUGCCACUGGUGCUGGGCAGAGCUUUGCCAAUCAUCCUCCUCAGCAGGAAGUGGACAUGAUUUUGAUAGUGUCACUCUACCACACACGAGACACUGAAUAGCAGCAAGAAAACUGAGCAGUUUUGUUAAUCUCACUGGUGUUUGGCAACCUCUCAGCAGCAGCCACAGAGGCACUACAGCUGUCUGUCUGCAGCCCCAGGAAUACAAUGCUGCAUUAUUUUAUAUUCGGCAGAUCAUCUUUCCAAUCAUAAGGUCUGGAACGUUUUAUAUAUUUACUUCUCCGUGAGGAAAGCUUCCUACUGUCACUAAUCAACAGAUUUUUCGAGACCCACUGUCUUGUGAGUUACAGAGAUAAAUGAAUUGGUACUUACAAAGCACUUUGGGGUCCUAAGGUGGAAAUACAAAAUAUUGUGUGUAUGUUUUGGAAACGACCUCGGAAUAAGUUACAUGGUAUGGUGUCAUUCCCAGUGAUGCAAGUCCAACCACAUCCUCCAUCCAAAUACUCCUGAAGGCUCAAUUUUUUUCCUCUGAUGUUCACAGAUGUUAAACUCACAUUGAUCCUGUUCUCCCUUCCCCAAUGUUAUUUUGGCAAAGAAAAAACAAAUCAAAUAAUAAACAUAAUGCAAAAAAAAGAAGACACAAUGAGGCAUUUUAACACUGUGUCCCUCAGAGUGCUAUACUUGUACUGUCUUAGAAAUAACACACAUUUAAAAUUAUAGUAAUGCACUGGUAGCAAACCAAGAGAGGUUAUCCUUUAGUAUGUCCAACUCUGGGCUCUUGUUUCUUUUGUUUCUUUCUUGUGUUUAAUUAGUAUUAGUCGUGUGAUUAGGCUGGACAAUUAUGGAGCAUAAAACCUGUGCCAGGUGACUUGAAAAUAUUAGUUCCCCCUCUGGAGCAUUUGCCCUCCAAAUGGGAGAGAGCAGGUGCCAGGAGGCAGCGCAGCAGCCGUGAGCCUGGGCAGCGUGGCAGACAGCAGCAGAGCUUUCUGGCAGCCCAGCUUUGUCCAGGUUUCCCAGGACAUGCAAGAGGAGAUGGCCGGGAUGCUGCCUCAGCACCGCUGCUUCCACUGGCCGUGCAGCCCUUCCGUCACUGCCAGCUGCAGUACCACCUCUGCACGUUGUUAUUUAUAUUUUCCUGCUGCACCAGCCCGGCUGCCCCUCAGGGCACCUCCACCCAAAGUGGUGACUUCAGCCCUGUGGAAUGAUGAGUGGGUUAUUUUGGAGAACCAGCUCAGCCUGGACCAGUGGCAGCAGGAGCUGGGAUGCUGUAUAGCUCAGUUCCCAGGGGCGGCUACCAAGUCUCUGGUGUUGAGUGUGUUGCUGUGCCCAAGCACAGGGCCAGGAGACAGGAUGGUGUCACUGACCCAGCUCAGGAAAUGGAGUGGGUGAAUGGUGGUUUGGCAGAGCUAGUGGGCAGAGGAUGAAUUUAACUCAAGAGUUGCAGCCUCAGGAUGAGCCCAUGUAAUGAAAGAUACUAUUGCAAAGCAUUGUUAAAACAGAGGUGUCCUGGUUCCCCUCCAGUAGGGAAAUGAGGUGUAUUGGCAUGUGGAAGAGCAGUCAUGAGAGAAGGGGAAGAAAGGUCAAAUGAGAAUGGCACUGACCUAAGCUGUCAAUACCCACUCUAGGCAGUAAGAGGGUACAGGGACUCGUGCUGGAAGGAGACAGAGAUGCCUGCAGGGAGUAUUUGGCAGCACAGCGGCACAUGCCUGGGACCUUGUGAUAACCCCUUGCCAUGAGAGGGGCUCACAGCACUGUCACCGGAGGUUUUGGGCACUGCUCUGUUCCAAUAUGCCACAGAUGCAAACAAAUACUUCCUCCCAGAGCAAUGCAUGGUGCAGUCAGGAGAGGUUACAACUCUUCUCUGACUUUAGCUUUACAGGUAUUUCAUUUGUUCCUCGCUGAGCUCCUCCAGCCACGCAGGCCAGGUUGCCCAAGAGUAGAGGCAGCGCACACAGACCUGCUCCAGAAGCAGCAUGUGGAUGAACUUGUGUGGCAGUAGAGCUCGGCACGAGUCUGUCUGUCAGCCUAAAUGAGCAAGAAAACUGCGCGGUGCCUUGGAGGCCAGCCCGACCCCCCUCCCGGUGAGCCGCGGGCAGAGGAGAGCGGCCGGGCUGUUCGUACCUGGUGCCGCGGGGCUCCGCCGUGCCCGGCAGCAGCUCUGCCCGGGGUCCUGCAGCCUGGGCACUGCCGUGCGGGGCCGGGCAGCCCCUGACCCCCGCAGGGUCGCUGCGGGCUGCCAGGGGGCACGAAGGCACCAGGGCUCCGGAAAGGCGCCUCUGCUCCCUCCUGCCCGGCCAGGGUCCCGGGGAGAGGGCAGCCCCGGUCCCGACCUGGAAGCGCCCUCGGCAGGAGCCGGUCCCGAGCCGCCCCCGCUCCGGCUUUAACCCGCCCGGUGCCAGCGCCCGGUCGGCAGCGCUGAGACACCGGGGGGAACCGGGCCGGGGUGUCCGGGGUCCGCCGCGGCGAGCCCGAGCGCGGCGGGCCGGGCCUGGCUCCGCCGCCCUUUGUCCGCCGCCCCGGGGCAGGUGCGGGCGGCGCGGCCGGGGACAAAGCGGCCGCGGGCUCCCGGGCUGCUCCCGCCGCCGAGCCCGGCACCGAGCGCGCUCCUCCGGCGCGGU